GCCCUAAACGAUGUCUACUAGUUGUCGGGUUUUAAUUAACUUGGUAACGCAGCUAACGCGUGAAGUAGACCGCCUGGGGAGUACGGUCGCAAGAUUAAAACUCAAAGGAAUUGACGGGGACCCGCACAAGCGGUGGAUGAUGUGGAUUAAUUCGAUGCAACGCGAAAAACCUUACCUACCCUUGACAUGUACGGAAGCCACGAGAGAUCGAGGUGUGCUCGAAAGAGAACCGUAACACAGGUGCUGCAUGGCUGUCGUCAGCUCGUGUCGUGAGAUGUUGGGUUAAGUCCCGCAACGAGCGCAACCCUUGUCAUUAGUUGCUACAUUCAGUUGAGCACUCUAAUGAGACUGCCGGUGACAAACCGGAGGAAGGUGGGGAUGACGUCAAGUCCUCAUGGCCCUUAUGGGUAGGGCUUCACACGUCAUACAAUGGUACAUACAGAGGGCCGCCAACCCGCGAGGGGGAGCUAAUCCCAGAAAGUGUAUCGUAGUCCGGAUCGCAGUCUGCAACUCGACUGCGUGAAGUUGGAAUCGCUAGUAAUCGCGGAUCAGCAUGUCGCGGUGAAUACGUUCCCGGGUCUUGUACACACCGCCCGUCACACCAUGGGAGCGGGUUUUACCAGAAGUAGGUAGCUUAACCGCAAGGGGGGCGCUUACCACGGUAGGAUUCGUGACUGGGGUGAAGUCGUAACAAGGUAGCCCGUAUCGGAAGGUGCC
rnacentral:rRNA from 1 species